UCACGAAAGUGGAUUGUACUAGAAGUCUGCGCGCUGACCCGCAAGGGGGGCAGCGGCCCAAGGUAUGACUCAUGAUUGGGGUG
rnacentral:rRNA from 1 species